UAUAUUUGCANCUUUAUUAUCAGGUACAUAAAAACUAUUAACAUUAAUAUUGGCAUG
rfam:Flavobacteriaceae bacterium TMED68 146143, whole genome shotgun sequence.